rnacentral:sRNA from 1 species
CUUUAGCCCUGAUGGGAACAGCAUCCUUUUUUGUCAUUGCGGGAAAAGUUUCUAAAUAUUGCUUAACGUCGUUCGCAAUGAAAAAAAAGAUAUAGUGGACAGCAGGUUCCCGG